GUGUGUAACUGUGUUUUGAGGGGAAGUGAGUCACGGAAUAAUUUAAAAGAGGAGAAAUUAGAAACCCAGUUUUAGAGCGAGAACGAAAUGUAAACUGGCAUGUAGAAGAAUCAGACUUGUGUACGGGUUCUCUACACACUUCUACUGCAGAGUUGUAACUCAUACACAGCACUUUAAAGGCCUUUACAGGCCCCGUUAUUUCCUCGCUGCAAAGACGCUUCAGCAAGCAACUAUACUGCCUCCUCCGCGCCGCCCGGCAGCCACAGGAAAUGUAAGACAGCUCCAGCUCCAGGGCCCUGCCGCUUUAUAAUGGAAGCUGGCCUGGGCCGUUGGACUGACGGCAGAGGUAGGGAAGUCAGUCUACCGACGCCAGCAAGCGGUGGAGAACACCGCAAAUUCCAGUCAAUGGCGGGCCAAGAGAGGCGUCAGCCUCAACCUCCACCUCAGCCACCACCUCAGCUCGGCCGGUUCAGUGCCGAAAAGAGACCGGAGAAUCCAGCGUUCCGAAGGCAGCAAGUACUACCGAGCAGCUUCCCAGCGCUUUUGGUUUUUCCGCGCCCGCCCCGCCCGCAGUUACCUUCCCAAGUGACAUCGUAAAGCUCUGAGACCUUCGCCAUCUUCUCAGAACCAGAGGCCGCGGGGUGAGGGCGGGGAGACGCGAUCACGUGACGUGUGGCCGGGCGGCGGGGAAUUACGAAUCCAUUUCUCAUUGGCCGACAGGGCGGAGGGGGUGGGAUCCGUCGCGCACGUGCACGAGGCUCCGCGGAGGGGCUGCUGGGGGAAGGGGGCGGGGCGACCUGGGCGGUACGCCGCGCGCCGAACUGUGAGGACACCCUGGCGGAGCCGCUGGAGCCGGCUAGGGGUCACUCAUGGAGAAGGCAGGUGACAUGUUACAAAGACACUCAAGCAGCUUCACAGAGAGGUCUACAUGGUGAGGAACUGAGGUCUCCUGCAACUUGCCAGCCAUGUGAGUGACACAUCUUAGGACUGAUUCCUCAGCCCGUCAAGACUGCAGACUCAGCUGACAUCUUGACUCAUGAUAUAUCAUGAGCCAGAAGAGCUGGGCUAAGCUGCUUCCAAAUUCCUGACCCACAGAAACUGUGUGACAUAACAAAUGCUCAGAAUGCCUCAUCCUGUUCUUUGUCCUGAAUUCAGCAACUGCCAUGGCCAAUGACUUAAUCCGUGUAGAACCAGGUGGCUAAGGAAGCUGUUCAGCAGCUAGAGAGGGAAAUUUCUCCCAAAUAGAAUAUUGGAAAAGGAAGGACUUCCCAGAGGUGAAAUCAAGAGUCAUAAAGAACAAUGGACUAUGAAGCUACCUCCAGGAAACAAGACUGAAGGUUAAUUAAGUAGAGUUCCCUACACUCAGGUUAGUAGACCUUAUAACAAUUCCUCAAUGGGAUUUCAGAACUGUUGUGGACCAGUAGCUGCUGGGUUCUCCCUUUCUUCUCAUUUCUAAAUGGAAGUGUUUAUUGUGGUUACACUAUUUAAUUAUGGAUGUGUAGGUGUGUAUUUUAUCAUGUGUGGGUACAAAUAACAAGUCUUUAAGUUUAUUGGACUUUGGCUCAAUAGAGCUACAUUUUGGCAUGAUAGAAACUCAUGAAUUUCAAGCUAAAUGUUUUUAU